GCCUAACACAUGCAAGUCGAGCGGUAGCACAGAGAGCUUGCUCUCGGGUGACGAGCGGCGGACGGGUGAGUAAUGUCUGGGAAACUGCCUGAUGGAGGGGGAUAACUACUGGAAACGGUAGCUAAUACCGCAUAACGUCGCAAGACCAAAGUGGGGGACCUUCGGGCCUCAUGCCAUCAGAUGUGCCCAGAUGGGAUUAGCUGGUAGGUGGGGUAACGGCUCACCUAGGCGACGAUCCCUAGCUGGUCUGAGAGGAUGACCAGCCACACUGGAACUGAGACACGGUCCAGACUCCUACGGGAGGCAGCAGUGGGGAAUAUUGCACAAUGGGCGCAAGCCUGAUGCAGCCAUGCCGCGUGUGUGAAGAAGGCCUUCGGGUUGUAAAGCACUUUCAGCGGGGAGGAAGGCGGUGAGGUUAAUAACCUUGUCGAUUGACGUUACCCGCAGAAGAAGCACCGGCUAACUCCGUGCCAGCAGCCGCGGUAAUACGGAGGGUGCAAGCGUUAAUCGGAAUUACUGGGCGUAAAGCGCACGCAGGCGGUCUGUCAAGUCGGAUGUGAAAUCCCCGGGCUCAACCUGGGAACUGCAUUCGAAACUGGCAGGCUAGAGUCUUGUAGAGGGGGGUAGAAUUCCAGGUGUAGCGGUGAAAUGCGUAGAGAUCUGGAGGAAUACCGGUGGCGAAGGCGGCCCCCUGGACAAAGACUGACGCUCAGGUGCGAAAGCGUGGGGAGCAAACAGGAUUAGAUACCCUGGUAGUCCACGCUGUAAACGAUGUCGAUUUGGAGGUUGUGCCCUUGAGGCGUGGCUUCCGGAGCUAACGCGUUAAAUCGACCGCCUGGGGAGUACGGCCGCAAGGUUAAAACUCAAAUGAAUUGACGGGGGCCCGCACAAGCGGUGGAGCAUGUGGUUUAAUUCGAUGCAACGCGAAGAACCUUACCUGGUCUUGACAUCCACAGAACUUUCCAGAGAUGGAUUGGUGCCUUCGGGAACUGUGAGACAGGUGCUGCAUGGCUGUCGUCAGCUCGUGUUGUGAAAUGUUGGGUUAAGUCCCGCAACGAGCGCAACCCUUAUCCUUUGUUGCCAGCGGUUAGGCCGGGAACUCAAAGGAGACUGCCAGUGAUAAACUGGAGGAAGGUGGGGAUGACGUCAAGUCAUCAUGGCCCUUACGACCAGGGCUACACACGUGCUACAAUGGCAUAUACAAAGAGAAGCGACCUCGCGAGAGCAAGCGGACCUCAUAAAGUAUGUCGUAGUCCGGAUUGGAGUCUGCAACUCGACUCCAUGAAGUCGGAAUCGCUAGUAAUCGUAGAUCAGAAUGCUACGGUGAAUACGUUCCCGGGCCUUGUACACACCGCCCGUCACACCAUGGGAGUGGGUUGCAAAAGAAGUAGGUAGCUUAACCUUCGGGAGGGCGCUUACCACUUUGUGAU
rnacentral:rRNA from 1 species